CUCAGGAUGAACGCUGGCGGCGUGCCUAACACAUUCAAGUCGAACGAACUGUAGAAAUACAGUGAGUGGCGGACGGGUGAGUAACGCGUAAGCAAUCUGCCUUUGUGUGUGGAAUAACAACCGGAAACAGUUGCUAAUACCGCAUAACGCAUAGGAGUCGCAUGGCUCUUAUGCCAAAGAUUUAUCGCACGAAGAUGAGCUUGCGUCCGAUUAGAUAGUUGGCGGGGUAACGGCCCACCAAGUCUACGAUCGGUAGCCGGACUGAGAGGUUGAACGGCCACAUUGGAACUGAGAUACGGUCCAGACUCCUACGGGAGGCAGCAGUGGGGAAUAUUGGGCAAUGGACGAAAGUCUGAACCCCCAGCGGCGCCGCGUGAGGGAAGAAGGUCUUCGGAUUGUAAACCUUAGUCAACAGGGACGAAGCAAGUGACGGUACCUGUGGAGGAAGCCACGGCUAACUACGUGCCAGCAGCAGC
rnacentral:rRNA from 1 species